rnacentral:lncRNA from 1 species
AUUUUGUACACCCCUCACCUUUACCUAACUACCGCCUCUCCCUUCCUCCUGUUUCCAACGGCAGCAACCUCCCCCCUAUCCGUUCUUCUCCUGCCCUCCACAGCGCCAGCAGCCUUGCACCCUCCCUGUUCUCCUCCUCCCCUCCACAGCGCCGGCAGCACCCUCCCUCCUCUCCCCGUCCUCCUCCUCCCCUGCAAGACAAUAUGUGCACCCCCUCCCCCAAUACGCGCGCCACCUUCCUUCCCUCCCUCCCGCCCGUCUGCGCGGCUUGCUCUCCCACCGGCCCACUAACAAAAAAAAUAGGAAAGAGAAUAAGCUAGGAAAAAAACCAAAAUUUGAAAAACCGCUAGCAGUGCACCCGUGCUCGUGCGGUAGGGUUAGGGUUGGGCGAUUUUCGUCGGCGGUGCGUGGAUUUCGGCGGCGGCGGCAGGUGGCGGGCGGAGAGGCGGGCAUCUAGCAUCGGGAGCGGAUUCCGUUGCGGGCGGCUGGCGUUGAUGCAGGCCACGCGCACGCGGGCGGAGAAGGUGGGGCAGCCGUCGUGGUCUGUCGACGGCGUGGCUGCAGGGGCUGCCGACGGCGGGGCUGCAGGGGGCUGAUGCGGACAGAGAAAAUCCUAGGGGAAGGCGUCCGGCGUUGGGGGCAGGGGGCCGGCGGCAGGGGGCGGGCGGCCGGCACAGGGUGCAGGAGGUGGAGGCGCCUGACUUCGGACGGUGUUUUUUCUUCCCUUUUUCUUCCACUCUUUUUUUCAAACUCAUGUUUUUUUCUAUCUUCAACACAAAGUGAUUUUUGUUGUGAUUCUUUUGUUUCAGAUUUUAGUGAAUGGUGCUAUGGGAGGAAUUUUUGGAUUUAGUGACACUUCCGCAUAUCAUCUUGCAAAAAAAUGAAAUGCGAGUAGUUCAUGUUUACUGGAGGAGUACUUCAUGUUAUUAAUCGAUAUAGUGUGUGAUCUUUUUAUGCUCUUGGAUGUGGAAUGAAAUGUGGAAUGUUUUGUCGCGUUUGAAUGUAUGCGAGUUUUUUGACAGAUUGAUGUUAUGCACUGUGUGUGAUAACCAUUUUUUUGUGCGUGAAUCAGAAUUUAUAGUAACACUGCUCUUAAUAUGUAGUAACCGUGCAAUUAAUCUGCAGUAAUAUUACCAUGGACAUGAAGUAACACAAAUCUGAAUAUGUAGUAACACAUUUAUAAAUUUGCAAAAACCAUUUAAAUUUUACUUGAAUAGCAACGAACAUGUUUACGAAGUCAACUUGUUUUUGAAUGUGCAUUACCACAGCCCUGUAUAUGCAGUAACAUAGCUCUGAGUGUGCAGUAACAUAACUCCAAAUAUGCAGUAACUCAUUUUUAGAGUAUGUUUUUUUGAUGUCAAUGAAUAUGAUUCAUAACUCAACUCUUUUUUUGGUGCAUUGUAGUAUUCAGUUACAAAGUAAGGGAAGCAACUGAAAGUAACCAAGGUCGUGGUUAGAGAUGGUGACCACGACUUGGAGGUUUCUUUCGAUCUCACGCAAACACAAAGUACGUCGGCAACACCAGGACACCGGCGUAAUAAAAGACGAACUACCCAAAGAAAAGAAAAGCCAAAAUAAGCUGAUGAUGAAGAGAGUAUCCUAGUUGUGUAAAUGCAAAAGGCCCCAAUUAGUAUCCUAGUUAUAUAAAAACCAAACAUGUAUACCUAAGUGGUUGCGGCAGCGUCCUUUUGUGAAUGGCAUGUGUUUUAUGCAAAAAUUGUGGUGGCAUUGAAACUUUAGUUUCAUGUGUUAUAACUGUGUUUUGGUGGUA